AUCUGCAGGCCUAGCUCCUAGUUUAGACAGAGAGCUCAUUCAUCCAUGGUGACGCUGUUGGGUGUGAUUUGCCAGUCACUGAGAUGCCCUUGUUUUUUUUUUUUUUUCUUGCAGAACCAUCUGCAGUUGGUGAAAAAUAACCCACUACAGCUAGUGAACAUUUCCCACCUUUUAUCCUCUGGCUUCAUAGGGCUGUGACAGACGGUGCCCCAGCAGGUACUAUGCAGCUCAACUGCCAAAGGUGUUGCUGUUCAGAAGUCCUAGAGACGGUGAUCUGCCCCAGCAAACAGACUUCUGCAGAACAAGCUGCUGUACCUAGGAACCAACCAACUCUUCUCAGGUAGGUGUGUCUAACUAAAAUAAAACCACCGAGGAAACUGCCUUGAUACUAAACUUCCCUAAACCAGGUCUCAGCAGAAGAAAAAAGCAUCCCUCCAACCUCAUUUCUCCUUUCGGAGGCUAGCAGGAAAUUAAAAAAGGAAAGGAGUUCCAUGCAGUAUUUCUGACAGCAAAUUUCUCAGAAUCCAGAGAUACUUCUUUUCUCUGUAAUAAGUAGCUGCAGAUACAAAGGAGCACUUAUGAUCGAUGACUAUCUCUGUUUGCAGGAGCGAUAAUUCCUGAACACACAGUUCUCGAUUAAAAUACAAAUGCAUUUUCAACUGCAUAUUUAUUUAUCUAUGUUUUAGUCUUACUUGACAAAAUGUGAAAAGAAUCCAGUAAAGUUGGGCUCUAGUAUACUGCAGAAGUGAAACUGAAGUAAGGAGAUUUUUAAAUGGGGAGGGAAUAUCCAUUUCUAUCUCUGGGUCCCUGAGUUCUCAUGUAGGAGUAGGUAAUUUGAAUUGGGCUUUUGUUACUUGCAAUAGGGAGAAUCCUGAAUAUUCCCUGAGGCUUAUAGAAUUGCAGAAUAUGAGCUAAAAGUUGUUUAUGUAGACCAGUAUGAAAAAGAUAAUAAAAUGCAGGACAAAGAUCUAUAGAUUUUGAAAGGUUCCAAAAUGCAGGACCCUUUUCUUGCACUGAGUGUGGCAGUGCUCUUUGGAGCCACAGCAUAUGAGAAUUGUGAAAUUACAGGUUCAACUGGCUGUGAGAAGAGAAUGCACAAAGGAUUAAGAAGCAAUGGUAAAGCAAGGAUGCAGGAUCAAAUAUGGCCAAAUAGCAAUAUUUUUAAAACUAUCUAUUAAUUUUUGAGUGUAGGUGUUUUUAAAACAUGUAAUCAAAUUAAGCAUAACUGUAAAAAAGUGUUGAAAGAAAUUCAGUGUUUAGUUUCAUUAGAUAUAAGGUAUUUAUUAAUGGUACUAUACAUUUCUAACUGCAUGGAUUUUAAAAAAUCAGUCUUAAAAUGAACAGAAUGUAUUUAUUUGGCAUCCAUACUGCUGUGAAUAGCUGUAACAUGUGUUUAAUGUUUGUUCUAUGCAAUUCCCUUACAUGUCACAAUAAAAAGACCUUUUUGAAAAAUC